rnacentral:rRNA from 1 species
GAUGAACGCUAGCGGCAGGCUUAAUACAUGCAAGUCGUGGGGCAGCGCAGUGUAGCAAUACAUGGGCGGCGACCGGCAAACGGGUGCGGAACACGUACACAACCUUCCUUCAAAUGGGGAAUAGCCCAGGGAAACUUGGAUUAAUACCCCGUAACAUUGUGAGAUGGCAUCAUCUUAUAAUUAUAGCUCCGGCGUUUGGAGAUGGGUGUGCGGCUGAUUAGGUAGUUGGCGGGGUAACGGCCCACCAAGCCUUCGAUCAGUAACUGGUGU